rnacentral:rRNA from 1 species
CCUACGGGAGGCUGCAGUGAGGAAUAUUGGUCAAUGGCCGGAAGCCUGAACCAGCCAAGUCGCGUGAGGGAGGAAGGCGCAAAGCGUCGCAGACCUCUUUUGCCGGGGGACAAAGGGCCGGACGUGUCCCGUUCUGAGGGUACCCGGAGAAAAAGCAUCGGCUAACUCCGUGCCAGCAGCCGCGGUAAUACGGAGGAUGCGAGCGUUAUCCGGAUUCAUUGGGUUUAAAGGGUGCGAAGGCGGGCCUUUAAGCCGGCGGUAAAAUCGCGGGGCUCAACCCCGCCGAGCCGUUGGUACUGGGGGCCUUGAGUGCGGUGGAGGAAGGCGGAAUGCGUGGUGUAGCGGUGAAAUGCAUAGAUAUCGCGCAGAACCCCGAUUGCGAAGGCAGCCUGCCGUGCCGCCACUGACGCUGAGGCACGAAAGCGCGGGGAUCGAACAGGAUUAGAUACCCUUGUAGUC